GACGUCGCACGUCCAGGCGGGAGGUCGGUGUGGCCUGGGCUUCUGCUCCCCGGCGGAUGUGGCAGCCCCGAGCCAUGGCUGUCUCCAUCCGAGUCCUUUAUUGUGGCGCUUGAGGCUACAAGUCCAAGUAUCUUCAGCUCAAGAAGUUAGAUAAGUUCCCCGGCCGCCUGGACACCUCUGGCGAGGGAACUCCCCAGGCCACCGGGUUCUUCGAAGUAAGGGUAGCUGGGAAGUUGAUUCACUCUAAGAAGAAAGGCGAUGGCUACGUGGACACUGAAAGCAAGUUUCUGAAGCUGGUGGCCGCCAUCAAAGCCGCCUUGGCUCAGGGCUAAUGCACCCUGAAGGCAGAGUCCAGGGACCUUAAUCCAGCCCCUCUCAGCAGACGCUUCAAGACGGGAAGGAGUGAAAUGCCUCGUGGAUGCCUGGUCCUUCCCCGAUGCUCUCGUGGCUGCUGUUGGGGGCAGAGAUUGAUGCCCUUGCUCUCUGCCUCUGUGUGUGUGUGUCUUCCCCGGGCUCCACACUGCCCCACCCUCCUCCUGUCCCCAGAUUUCAUCAGAUUUCUGUGCACACCCCAUGUUUCCCCAGUUGUCUCCCAGAGUUUGGGGAACAUCCCGCCUCAGGCAUCCUUCUUAUGGGGAAGCUAAGAGAGGCAUCAGGAUGGGUGAGUGUCUGAUUGUGGCAAAGUUUGCAGCUGUUCACAAUUCAAUAAAUAUUGGACGAGUUUAAC